GAUGAACGCUGGCGGCGUGCCUAAUACAUGCAAGUCGAGCGAUAACAUGAGGAGCUUGCCCCCUUUGCGUAAGCGGCGCGCGGGUGAGUAACACGUGGGGGACCUAUCUUUAAGCCGGGGGUAACCUCUGGAAACCGGUGCUAAUUCCGGCUAAUAGUUUCAAGCACAAGGUUCGAGACUUAAAGGCGUCUUUGCAUCGGCUUAUCCCGGUACCGCGUUGGUAUUAGCUGGUUGGUGGGGUAACGGCUCCCCAAGGCAACGAUCCGUAGCAGACCUGAGAGGGUGACCGGCCACACUGGAACUGAGACACGGUCCAGACUCCUACGGGAGGCAGCAGUGGGGAAUCUUGCGCAAUGGGCGAAAGCCUGACGGAGCAACGCCGCGUGUGUGAUGAAGGUCUUCGGGUUGUAAAACUCUUUUAUUGGGGAGGAAGGGAGUAAAAAUUAAACGUGCGCUCAUUGACGGUACCUACACAGAAAGCAACGGCUAACUACGUG
rnacentral:rRNA from 1 species